rnacentral:rRNA from 1 species
UACGGAGGGUGCAAGCGUUAAUCGGAAUUACUGGGCGUAAAGCGUGCGUAGGCGGUUCUGUAAGUCAGGUGUGAAAGCCCCGGGCUCAACCUGGGAAUGGCAUUUGAGACUGCAUAGCUAGGGUGCGGAAGAGGGAAGCGGAAUUUCCGGUGUAGCGGUGAAAUGCGUAGAUAUCGGAAGGAACGCCGGUGGCGAAAGCGGCGGACUGGACCGCUUCUGACGCUGAGGCGCGAAAGCCAGGGGAGCAAACGGG